rnacentral:antisense_RNA from 10 species
CUUUAUGGCAGCUGUGCGCGGGAGACCUUCGGGUCUGCCGGAACUCGGUCCCGGUUCGCCAACCUGCGUACAGCUGUCACCCAU